rnacentral:rRNA from 1 species
UACGGGGGGAGCGAACGUUGUUCGGAAUCACUGGGCGUAAAGGGCGUGUAGGCGGCUGAAUAAGUGGGAUGUUAAAUCCCCCGGCUCAACCGGGGACCUGCAUCUCAUACUGUUCAGCUCGAGCACAUCAGAGGAGACUGGAAUUCCUGGUGUAGCGGUGAAAUGCGCAGAUAUCAGGAGGAACACCGAUGGCGAAGGCAGGUCUCUGGGCAUUAACUGACGCUGAGGAGCGAAAGCAUGGGGAGCGAACAGG